rnacentral:snRNA from 1 species
GUGCCUCAGCAGCACAUAUGCUAAAAUUGGAAUGAUACAGAGGAGAUUAGCAUGGCCCCUGCACAAAGAUAACAUGCAAAUUUGUGCAGCAUUCUGUAUUUUU